CGUCCCCAUGUCCCCACUGCCCCACGCUGUCCCCACAUUGUCCCCACUGCCCCACGCUGUCCCCAUUGUCCCCAGUGUUCCCCAUUGUCCUCCAUUGUCCCCCAUUGUCCCCAUUGACCCCCACUGUCCCCAAAUGCCCCCCCGUGUUGUCCCCACUCACCCCCAUUGUCCCCCAUGGACUCACACUGUCCCCACUGCACCUCAUUGUCCCCCAAUGUCCCUGUUGUCCCCACUGACCCCAUUGUCCCCCAUGGUCCCACACUGUCCCCAUUGUCCCCACUGUCCCCAUUGUCCCCCAAUAUCCCCAUUGUCCCCCAUGGACCCACACUGUCCCCAUUGUCCCCAGUGCCCCCACUGACCCACACUGUCCCCACUGUCCCCAUUGCACCUCAUUGUCCCCACUGUCCCCCAUUGUCCCCAGUGUCCCCAUUGACUACCACUGUCCCCAUUGUCCCCAUUGCACCUCAUUGUCCCCAAUGUCCCCACUGUCCCCAUUGACCCCCACUGACCCACAUUGUCCCCAGUGUCCCCCAUUGUCCCCCACUGUCCCCAUUGACCCCCACUGACCCACACUGUCCCCAUUGUCCCCACUGACCCACAUUGUCCCCCACUGUCCCCAUUGACCCGCACUGACCCCCAAUGUCCCCAUUGCACCCCAGUGUCCCCCAUUAACCCCCACUGUCCCCAUUGACCCCCACUGACCCACACUGUCCCCACUGUCCCCAUUGCACCUCAUUGUCCCCAAUGUCCCCCUUUGUCCCCACUGACCCACAUUGUCCCCCAUUGACCCCCACUGACCCACACUGUCCCCAUUGUCCCCAGUGCCCCCACUGACCCACAUUGACCCCCACUGUCCCCAUUAACCCCCAUUAUCCCCAUUGACCCACCCUGUUCCCAUGGACCCCCCACUGUCCCCAUUGUCCCCAGUGUCCCCCAGUGUCACAAUGGGACACGUGUCCCCAGCAGUCCCCCAAUGUCACACCCAGACACGUGUCCCCAACAUCACACCAGGACACGUGUCCCCAACAGCCCCCCACUGUCACAAUGGGACACGUGUCCCCAACAAUCCGCCGGUGUCACACCAGGACACGUGUCCCCAACAGUCCAUCAGUGUCACAAUGGGACACAUGUCCCCAACAGUCCCUCGGUGUCACACCAGGACACGUGUCCCCCAACAGUCCCCCAAUGUCACACACGGACACAUGUCCCCAGCAGUCCUCCAACAUCACAGGGGGGCCACGUGUCCCCAGCAGUCCCCCGGUGUCACACCGGGCCACGUGUCCCCAGCAGUCCCCCGGUGUCACGAUGGGCCAUGCGUCCCCAUUGUCAGACGAGGACGUGCGCCACGGGCACCUUGGUGGGGCGGCCGCCCCGUGGCACCAGGAGGUCCCCGUCCGCGUCCUCGGCGCUCACCGGCGGCUCUGGGGACAGGGGACAGCGUUAGGGGGCACGGGGGGGGGACAGGGGGUGACACAUGGGGUGACACGGUGACACACAUGGGGGACAAACGGGUGACAAGGGGGGACGUGGUGGUGACACAUGGGGUGACGUGGUGACACACACCGGGGACAGAUGGGUGACACAUGGGGUGAUGCGGUGGUGACACACAUGGGGGACAAACAGGUGACACAUGGGGUGACGUGGUGGUGACACAUGGGGUGACGUGGUGACACACAUGGGGGACAGGUGACAAGGGGUGACGUGGUGGUGACACAUGGGGUGAUGUGGUGGUGACACACAUGGGGGACAGAUGGGUGACACGGGGUGACAUGGUGACACACAUGGGGGACAGACAGGUGACAAGGGGUGACAUGGUGGUGACACAUGGGGUGACGUGGUGACACACAUGGGGGACAAACAGGUGACACAUGGGGUGACACGGUGACACACAUGGGGGACAGACGGGUGACACAUGGGGUGACACGGUGACGCACAUGGGGGACAAACGGGUGACACAUGGGGUGACACGGUGACACACAUGGGGGACAGACGGGUGACACAUGGGGUGACGUGGUGGUGACACAGGGGACUUGCACGGGGGGAUGUGGGGGACAUGCAGGUGACAUUGGGGUGACAGAUCACAAGGGGUGACAAGGAGGUGACAUACAAGUGACACAGAGGUGACACGUAGGGGUGACAAGUCACAAGGGGGGGACACGGGGGUGACACGGGGGGGUGACACCUAGGGGUGACGUGGAGGACACACGAGUGACACGGAGGUGACACCAAGGGUGACAGGUCACAAGGGGGGGACACGGGGGUGACACGGGGGGGUGACACCGAGGGGGUGACA
rnacentral:lncRNA from 1 species